GACGAACGCUGGCGGCGUGCCUAAUACAUGCAAGUAGAACGCUGAAGAGAGGAGCUUGCUCUUCUUGGAUGAGUUGCGAACGGGUGAGUAACGCGUAGGUAACCUGCCUUGUAGCGGGGGAUAACUAUUGGAAACGAUAGCUAAUACCGCAUAACAAUGGAUGACACAUGUCAUUUAUUUGAAAGGGGCAAAUGCUCCACUACAAGAUGGACCUGCGUUGUAUUAGCUAGUAGGUGAGGUAACGGCUCACCUAGGCGACGAUACAUAGCCGACCUGAGAGGGUGAUCGGCCACACUGGGACUGAGACACGGCCCAGACUCCUACGGGAGGCAGCAGUAGGGAAUCUUCGGCAAUGGGGGCAACCCUGACCGAGCAACGCCGCGUGAGUGAAGAAGGUUUUCGGAUCGUAAAGCUCUGUUGUAAGUCAAGAACGAGUGUGAGAGUGGAAAGUUCACACUGUGACGGUAGCUUACCAGAAAGGGACGGCUAACUACGUGCCAGCAGCCGCGGUAAUACGUAGGUCCCGAGCGUUGUCCGGAUUUAUUGGGCGUAAAGCGAGCGCAGCGGUUUGAUAAGUCUGAAGUUAAAGGCUGUGGCUCAACCAUAGUUCGCUUUGGAAACUGUCAAACUUGAGUGCAGAAGGGGAGAGUGGAAUUCCAUGUGUAGCGGUGAAAUGCGUAGAUAUAUGGAGGAACACCGGUGGCGAAAGCGGCUCUCUGGUCUGUAACUGACGCUGAGGCUCGAAAGCGUGGGGAGCGAACAGGAUUAGAUACCCUGGUAGUCCACGCCGUAAACGAUGAGUGCUAGGUGUUGGAUCCUUUCCGGGAUUCAGUGCCGCAGCUAACGCAUUAAGCACCCCGCCUGGGGAGUACGACCGCAAGGUUGAAACUCAAAGGAAUUGACGGGGGCCCGCACAAGCGGUGGAGCAUGUGGUUUAAUUCGAAGCAACGCGAAGAACCUUACCAGGUCUUGACAUCCCGAUGCUAUUUCUAGAGAUAGAAAGUUACUUCGGUACAUCGGUGACAGGUGGUGCAUGGUUGUCGUCAGCCCGUGUCGUGAGAUGUUGGGUUAAGUCCCGCAACGAGCGCAACCCCUAUUGUUAGUUGCCAUCAUUCAGUUGGGCACUCUAGCGAGACUGCCGGUAAUAAACCGGAGGAAGGUGGGGAUGACGUCAAAUCAUCAUGCCCCUUAUGACCUGGGCUACACACGUGCUACAAUGGUUGGUACAACGAGUUGCGAGUCGGUGACGGCAAGCUAAUCUCUUAAAGCCAAUCUCAGUUCGGAUUGUAGGCUGCAACUCGCCUACAUGAAGUCGGAAUCGCUAGUAAUCGCGGAUCAGCACGCCGCGGUGAAUACGUUCCCGGGCCU
rnacentral:rRNA from 1 species